rnacentral:rRNA from 1 species
CAAUAGCGUAUAUUAAAGUUGUUGCGGUUAAAAAGCUCGUAGUUGGAUUUCUGCCGAGGACGACCGGUCCGCCCUCUGGGUGUGUAUCUGGUUUGGCCUGGGCAUCUUCUUGGAGAACGUAGCUGCACUUGACUGUGUGGUGCGGUGUCCAGGACUUUUACUUUGAGGAAAUUAGAGUGUUUCAAGCAGGCACACGCCUUGAAUACAUUAGCAUGGAAUAAUAAGAUAGGACCUCGGUUCUAUUUUGUUGGUUUCUAGAGCUGAGGUAAUGAUUAAUAGGGAUAGUUGGGGGCAUUCGUAUUUAACUGUCAGAGGUGAAACUCUUGGAUUUGUUAAAGACGGACUACUGCGAAAGCAUUUGCCAAGGAUGUUUUCAUUGA